UUCUCUGUCAAAUGGCACAUCCUGCUCUCUGCUACCACGAAUAUUUGAAAGAUCCGUUGGAUUUACUCAUAUUUUCAUCAUGGACAACACGCUAAGUGUAGCUACAGCUUUCAAUAACAGUGUCGUCCUGAAUACAGCUGCUGGUAUCGACACAGCUCUGUCAUCUGUGGCAAAAGCAGUCUGGACUGGUUGAAGCCGAGUGGGAAGGAUUAUUUUGGGAGUGUUUCAGUCAGCUGUGAAUCAUCAUAAUCCAUACACAGCAUAAACCUGCUCGCUGCCACCAGUACAAGGAGAUGAUCGAGGGGGAACAAGCAAUGCUUCAGCUUGUAUUGUCUGAGGCCUGGUGUUGUGGCCAAGGAGCUUUCACUCAGAUGGAACCUGCAGUGUUGACAUCCUUCCUGCUAGAGAUGUGAAAGCAUCCCCGGGACUGGACACGGCAAACAUAUAUUUCUGAAGAUCAGGACUUUUGCAAUGAGAAUGCCAUGGAUAUUACAUGUCCUGCUCCAAAGGGCAGUAUAGAAAUAUGCUCUCAGGCUAGAUUCCUUUGUUCGUAUCAUAUCACUGAAAGGAUCUUAUGAUAUAGGCCUAUGUCUAGAUAGUAUUUUUCCUCAUUGUACUGUAGGCUACUACCUUUAGCAC